UCCCCCAAGCGCUCAUUCUACAGGUCUCUGAGCUAAACUUCCCAUUCUCCUCUCUCUCCAUCAGUUCUCACGAAAGGUCCAGAGACAGUUCUCCAAACAGUCCUUUCGGUCUGUGAAACAUUUGUAAACUGCUGUCCUGUCGCCCACUAGCUGGCCUGCGGCCAGUGGUGACCUUCACAGCUCAGUCUUCUCAUAUUUUACCAUCCAGGCCCCGCACAGUAUGUGCCGUGGGCUUUAUGAUUUGUUUACCACUUUGUUGCAAGCCUCUGCAUCCCACGCUGGGCCGCAGCACUGUUCGAGAAGAGAAAAACUUGGAGAGGGGAUCCCGCACAAAGCAAAUGACUGAAAGGUUGGAAAGAGGAAUUGCUAAGCGAAAAGGAUGAAGGAACUGGGUGGGUUUAGCUCUGAGAAGGAGAUAGAGAGAGAGGUUGAGAAAGAAUAGUCAACGGUCCCCUUUGCUUGCUUCCUUUUCAUCAUAGUUACAAUACUGUCCAUAAAGAUACUUUAAAAAAUUGUAUUCCUUGUUUAGUGAUGGACUCUUUAUAUAGAAUGUUACAUUACUUACGACAAAGUGUGGUCUGAGCUGCUCUCACAGACUCUUCAGUAGGAUCUUAAGCUGCCCGUGUUCCUGUCCCUCUUCUGAUUUGCUGUGAAAGGUCGGUGGCAAAGAGAGGUGAGCUGAUGUUGCAUGAGGAAGGGUGGAGCUCCUGCGAGCCUGUUUGCCUAAUGAACUCCUGUUGGAGAACUAGGGCAUUAUCUUUCCUGAGGUGGGUCUUAGGUCUCAUACAGUUGUGAGAGCUGUUAAAACCUGGGGUCAGUAGGUAGAGCCUGUGUGACCUUUGGGAAUCUUCAGGUGUGAGAAGUUUGAAAAUAACAGCGAUUAUAAUAACAGCAGCCAUUGUUACUCAAGGCAUUUUUUGUUAAGCUCUUUAUACUCCUUAUCUCAUUUACUCUUCACAACAACCUGUCACAUAAAUACCGUUGUUAUCCUCAUUUUACAAAUGAGGAAUCAAACUCAGAGAUUUAAAAAUAUGUCCAAGACGUCACAUCUGGCAGAUUGCCCGUCUGGGGUUCAAAACCAGGUCGGGCGGGCUACAGAGUGCAAGGUGUUUGUGUUUAUUUAAAGAGCUUUAUUGAUCUAUAAUUUGCAUACCAUACAGUUCACCCAUUUAAAGUGUACAAUUCAAUGUGUUUUGUAUAUUAUUAAUUUUUUAAGUUGUGGUAAAAUAUAAAUGACAUAAAAUUUGCCAUUUUAACCAUUUUUAAGUGUACAAUUCUGUAGUAGUAAUUGUAUUCACAGUGUUUUGCAACCAUUACCAAUAUCUCCCUCUGAAACUUUUUUAUCACCCCAAACAGAAACUAACCAUAAAGCAAUAACUCCCUAUUCCGUCCUCCCCACAGCCCCCAGGAGUCUCUAAUCUGCUUUCUGUCUCUGAAUUUUGCCUAUUCUAGAUUGUUGAUGUAAGUGGAAUCAUGUAAUGUUUGCCAUUGAUGUCUGGCCACUUUCUCUUAGCUUAAUGUUUCAAAGUUCAUUCAUGUUGUAGCACGUGUUAGAAUUUCAUUCCUUUUUAAUGGCUGAAUGAUAUGCCAUUGUAUGCAUAUACCACUUUUUGUUUAGCCCUUCAUAGGUCGAUGGACUCUAGAGUUGUUUCCACCUUUUGGCUGUUGUGCAGAGCCCAAGUUUUAACUGGCAUGUAUACAUCAUAGCCUAAGCUGAGGAGCACCCCAGGGUGGAAUCUCCUGUCUUCAGCCCUGGGCAUCACACCUUGUUGCAGCGAACUCUGCAUUGCACCAGCUUUUUCUAGUAGUAUUUACAAGAGUCAGGCAGAUUUGGUUUUUGAAAUACAGGUCUGUCACGUGUCAGCUGUAGGAACAAGGACCAGUUACUCAGCUUCUCUCACCCUGAGUUUUCUCAGUCUCUAAGGUAGAAGCAGUAAUACCUGC